rnacentral:rRNA from 1 species
GACGAACGCUGGCGGCGUGCCUAAUACAUGCAAGUAGAACGCUGAAGGAGGAGCUUGCUCUUCUGGAUGAGUUGCGAACGGGUGAGUAACGCGUAGGUAACCUGCCUGGUAGCGGGGGAUAACUAUUGGAAACGAUAGCUAAUACCGCAUAAGAGUAGAUGUUGCAUGACAUUUGCUUAAAAGGUGCAAUUGCAUCACUACCAGAUGGACCUGCGUUGUAUUAGCUAGUUGGUGGGGUAACGGCUCACCAAGGCGACCAUACAUAGCCGACCUGAGAGGGUGAUCGGCCACACUGUGUCUGAGACACGGCCCAGACUCCUACGGGAGGCAGCAGUAGGGAAUCCUCGGCAAUGGACGGAAGUCUGACCGAGCAACGCCGCGUGAGUGAAGAAGGUUUUCGGAUCGUAAAGCUCUGUUGUAAGAGAAGAACGAGUGUGAGAGUGGAAAGUUCACGCUGUGACGGUAUCUUACCAGAAAGGGACGGCUAACUACGUG